CACUGUUUUGCCCGGAACAUCUGCUUCUUAGAUCUAAGUGAUUGCACUCAAUAAAUAGUGUGGAGACCAGAGCUCGGCGCCUUUUGCAGCCUCCAUUUUGCAACUGGCCCCCUGGCUCCUACUUCUAUGAACUCUUAACCUGUCUUUUCUCAAUCCUUUCUCGCCACCAGACUUCGGGUACCCUAUGGGUGGUGUUGAGGCUGGUCCCCAACACAGCAGCAGCUGGGAUCUGGGAGUCAGCCUCAGGAAGCAGCCAACAAACACAUUAGUGGAGCAUUGCCAAGGGAGUCCCAGAAAGAGCUGAGCAACAUUUUGAUGGAGAUAGGGCAGCAGAGGUUCUGCUAUUAUUACCUUGGAGCGGACCACUGAACCAAUAAACAUUUGGGUUAUGCUGAUAUUAAUGACAAUUAUAGCAAUAAUAACUUGGUAUGCAGCAGCACUCUUUGAAGUCCCAAUAGUUGCCUUCAAGAAUUAUCACUUCAAGUUUGAAACAAAGUUAUUUACAUGUUUAUCACAAGUACAAAGACAGACUUUUCUUUCUACCGUGUCCUUUAUGUGCAAGCAGGGCAGAUCAGUGAAAGUUCCUUAGCUGUUUUGAGAGUCGUUAACUUCCUUGUGUCUCCAUCCUCCCUGCUUCUGUGAGCUGUCAUCAGUGGAGAGCUCUGGCUACAGCCCAUACUAUCUUGGUGUCCUUGGGAAGUAAAGAAGCCUCAUCCACUUUGAAAUUGGUUAACGGCAAUAACAGAAGAAAAACCAAUGGAGCCAGACCAAAUGCAGCAACAUAGGCUGCCCUCUUCCCGGUAGAUCAGCUCGGAUGCUGUUAGCCUGGUGAGGACCGAGUACACCUUCUGCAGCAGUGGCAACCCAACCAGAUUUCUAGCAAGUGGUACUUUGACUCCAUAAAAUAGGUGUGAAUAGGCCCAUACAAAGAAGCAA